GAUGAACGCUGGCGGCGUGCCUAAUACAUGCAAGUCGAGCGAACGGACGAGAAGCUUGCUUCUCUGAUGUUAGCGGCGGACGGGUGAGUAACACGUGGAUAACCUACCUAUAAGACUGGGAUAACUUCGGGAAACCGUAGCUAAUACCGGAUAAUAUUUUGAACCGCAUGGUUCAAAAGUGAAAGACGGUCUUGCUGUCACUUAUAGAUGGAUCCGCGCUGCAUUAGCUAGUUGGUAAGGUAACGGCUUACCAAGGCAACGAUGCAUAGCCGACCUGAGAGGGUGGUCGGCCACACUGGAACUGGGACACGGUCCAGGCUCCUACGGGAGGCAGCAGUAGGGAAUCUUCCGCAAUAGGCGAAAGCCUGACGGAGCAACGCCGCGUGAGUGAUGAAGGUCUUCGGAUCGUAAAACUCUGUUAUUAGGGAAGAACAUAUGUGUAAGUAACUGUGCACAUCUUGACGGUACCUAAUCAGAAAGCCACGGCUAACUACGUG
rnacentral:rRNA from 1 species